UGACAAGCUAGAGUAUGGUAAAGGGUGGUGGAAUUUCCUGUGUAGCGGUGAAAUACGUAGAUAUAGGAAGGAACACCAGUGGCGAAGGCGACCACCUGGACUGAUACUGACACUGAGGUGCGAAAGCGUGGGUAGCAAACAGGAUUAGAUACCCUGGUAGUCCACGCCGUAAACGAUGUCAACUAGCCGUUGGGAGCCUUGAGCUCUUAGUGGCUCAGCUAACGCAUUAAGUUGGCCGCCUGGGGAGUACGGCCGCAAGGUUAAAACUCAAAUGAAU
rnacentral:rRNA from 1 species